UCAAAUAUAAUACACGGACCUAUGUGGGUGUGGAGUGAAAGAAUUUCUAUUGAGGGCAGCUAGAACUCAGCUUCAUACGAUCUCAUCCCAGAAAACAAAUUUGCAGAGAGAUUUCAAGCGAAGAUUCAACAACACACAUCACUGAUGUCUUCUUAGCUUACUCUUCCACCUCUUCUGGUAUGUCUCUCCUGCUCUCCAAGGCUCCCGCUGGUAUUGAGGCAAAAGGUCUGCCUUUCUCUUUUUGAUCUGCCAAGAAAAAGGCCACCGUUCUAGAGAAUUGUUACAGUGAUUUGAGCAAGGCUGAGACAGAAAGUCACUCCGGCAACACAUCAAUGAAGAAAUUGGAGUUUGAUCGUAUCCAAAGUCUCAAUUUUUAUUUUUCUUCAGGAAAAUUGAUUUUCAUUUAAUUUUCUAGGUUAUUUUUUAUUUUUAAUAAAAAUCUAGGUUAUAUUGGUGUUGUUUUAGUUGUUUUUAAACUCUGUUUCAUGUUGUAAUUUUCUGUAUUUUCAAAAGCCUUGAGAAAGAAGAAGCGUUUCUUUUUAGCUGCUAGAGCUUCCAGAACAGAGAAUAAAGAUGCUAUAUGGUUGGAAUAAUUGCUGACCCUAAAGGUGCAAGAUUUGCUAUUAGAGAGAUUCACUACUUCCAAUUUCGUCGAGUCCGUUUUAUCGAUAGUAAUGGAGACUGACACCGAGUAAACAAAAGGAGCUCCAGCGCAGAUCCUUGGUCUGUGCAACACAAGAGCUGAUCUGAGGAACAUAAUCCAUUUAGCAAUCGACAAGUACACUGAGCAUGGACUGAGUUUAUUAGCUGUUGCAAGACGGACUCUACCUGAGAAAACAAAAAAUAAGCUCGAGUGGUCUUGGUCCAUGUGAAUUCAUUGGUGUGUUGCCUUUGUUUGGUCCUCCAAAACAUGAUAGUGCAUACACCAUUAGAAGAGCUUCAGGCCUAGGUGUCAACAUCCAGAUGAUCAUUGUUGAUCAAGCUAUUGCCAAAUAGACUCGACGUAGGCUCGGUAUGGGAUCAGACAUGUAUCCAUCAGCAUCAACUUCUCUACUUGAUAAUCACAAAGACAAAAGCUGAGCAGCUUUCCCAAGCCAGAGCACAAGUACAAGAUUGUGAAGAAGUUUCCUGAGUUGAAGCAUGUAUGUAGAAUGGCUGGUGAUGAAUGCUCAUGCUUUGAAAGGAGCCAAUAUUGGUAUCGAUGUUGUUGAUGCUACAGACGCUGCACAAGGCGCUUCUGAUAUUGUUCUCACCGAAUCUUGAGCUACAUGACUUUAGUGACCAUCGUUUUCUUCUGCUCAGCUUACAGCACCAACUUCUUCCAGAUAACUUUCCAUAUGAGAGACUUGAGAGGCAAUGAACAUGAAAUGAUGUGUGCUUUGUAAUUCAGCAGUAUUGUGUGCCGGGCUCUUAUAUUCAUCACUUGAUCAAGAGGCAUGUUUCCAGAGCGACCUUCUGAUAGCAUAAGCAGUAAAGCAUAAAACAUGGUUUCGUUUCUUUAGAGGAGUAUUCUAAAUUCGCUAUUGACCAGAUGCAUGAGUGACUAUCUAUGUAUCUCUGGCGACUCUACAUCAGGAACUUGCAAGUCGGAUUUCAAUACAAGUCAGUUUAUUUGUAAAUAAUAUAUGUGAAAUACUCAAGAGUAUUAUACAUGUAACAAUGGGUCAUUGUUUGUUAUUAUGUUGUCCAGAAUUUGAGUGUCAUUUCUUCGGUGCCUACUUCUGAAAAUAUUUUACAUCUGUA